rnacentral:rRNA from 1 species
GGACCCGCACAAGUAGUGGAGCAUGUGGUUUAAUUCGAAGAUACGCGCAGAACCUUACCAACACUUGACAUGUUCGUCGCGACUUUAAGAGAUUAAAGUUUUCGGUUCGGCCGGACGAAACACAGGUGCUGCAUGGCUGUCGUCAGCUCGUGUCGUGAGAUGUUGGGUUAAGUCCCGCAACGAGCGCAACCCUCACUUUUAGUUGCCAUCAUUUAGUUGGGCACUCUGAAAGAACUGCCAGUGAUAAGCUGGAGGAAGGUGGGGAUGACGUCAAGUCCUCAUGGCCCUUACGUGUUGGGCUACACACGUGCUACAAUGGGUGUGACAAAAAGUUGCAAACUCGCGAGAGUAAGCUAAUCUUUAAACACAUCCCUAGUUCAGAUUGUAGGCUGCAACUCGCCUACAUGAAGUUGGAAUCGCUAGUAAUCGGAUAUC